rnacentral:rRNA from 1 species
GGCCCUUCGGGGUACACGAGCGGCGAACGGGUGAGUAANACGUGAGCAACCUGCCCCUGACUCUGGGAUAAGCGGUGGAAACGCCGUCUAAUACCGGAUACGACCCGCCACCUCAUGGUGGAGGGUGGAAAGUUUUUCGGUCAGGGAUGGGCUCGCGGCCUAUCAGCUUGUUGGUGGGGUAACGGCCUACCAAGGCGAUUACGGUAGAAGGCCUGAGAGGGCGACCGGCCACACUGGGACUGAGACACGGCCCAGACUCCUGCGGGAGGCAGCAGUGGGGAAUAUUGCGCAAUGGGCGAAAGCCUGACGCAGCGACGCCGCGUGGGGGAUGACGGCCUUCGGGUUGUAAACCUCUUUUACCACCAACGCAGGCUCCCAGUUCUCUGGGGGUUGACGGUAGGUGGGGAAUAAGGACCGGCUA